UUUAUAAAAUCCACAUUUACAAUUAAUCGUUAUUCAAUACACAUUUGAUAUUAACGUAAUCCACCUGAAUCAUUUUAUGAAAAACAUACAAAAUUAGGUUGAAGCUGAGAUACCAUAUAUCAUCCCUAUGUUCUUGAUAUCCUUGAUAAGCUACAUCGUGAGGUCAAUAACUCGAACGAGGACAAACUUCAGAUAAUGAGUACAUACUCAUUUGAAUGUUUUUAUGUUCAGAUUAUUGAUGAGGAAGAAGCUAUGACGCUACCUUUACAUGAUGCAUAUACUUAUUCUCA
rnacentral:lncRNA from 1 species